CAGGAAUUACAAAUAUGAAGGCAAGUUAACUAGAAGAGAAAGCUUUAUCAGGUAAUUAAGUACUUGUACUUCUCCAACAAAACAGCGCUGAAGGCACAAAUAUACUUGAGCAGUCCAACUACUGAAUUUCACAUUGUAACCAGGAACUCUGAUAGCUAAAAUGUUUGUACAUUUAGACAUAGAAUCAAAUAAUGAAGGAAAAUUGCUUAGCAACAGCUCUAGAAAUCAACCAGAAAAGAAAUAAGAAAGAAGAAAGGAAGGGGUGUAAUAAAAGUAGUAGUAAUAGUAGCAUAGAAUUUGUUUCUACACUAAAUGCCAAAUGGCUACUAGAAAUUUAGAUGACAAAGAAAACAGCCAUACACAAGAUAUCAAGUAAAGCAUAGAAAAUGCCACAAGGAUACAUCGCAAGUGAUACAAGAU
rnacentral:misc_RNA from 1 species